rnacentral:lncRNA from 1 species
UUGCUUAUAAAGACAACUUUUCUUGCCUUUGAAGGCAGAGAUUUCUAAGAGCUGAAAUCCAGAAAAUAUAGAAAAACUGCAAAAAAAUAAAUAAAAAAUCUACUGUUUCAUAGGAGAUCGGGAAGAGCUAAAAAAUACAGAAAACAGAGAAACGACUAAAAAAAGAGAUAAAACUACUGUUUCAUUGAUUUUGCUUUGAAUUUGGGAAGUUUCGAUAUUUUUGAAACAAAUUUCCUGUUCAUCUGGAGUAGAAUGCUUUGAGUUUGGUUUGUCAAAAGCCUGGUUGAGGUCAGCUUCGAUUACUGUUUGAUUGAGAGUAGAUCUGGACUAUUUCCCAUCAUUUUUGUGGCUGAAAUGGACUGUAUUUGUUGAGUCUUGCUGUGCUGCUGCUGUUUCGAUCAUAUACUGAAACUCACCUGCUCUUGUUUUCCUCUUAUUUCCCAGGUACUUAGAUCUGAAUCCCAAAUAUGUAAAGAAUGAUUUAUGGGAUGUCUUUACCGAAGAGAAAUGAAUAAUUGUGCUUUCUUUUACCAGAUGUCAUCUCUUCUUAGAUUUUUUAGUUUGCUUUGUCGAGUCUUAUCUCAACAUGUCGUUUUAUCAGGCUGUUUUGAAGUUUUUAUAGUAAAGCUACAAUGGGACUAUAUGUAGUAUUUGUUGAUUUCCAUUUGUUUAAUAUCUAAGUUCUGCUGUUGUUAGAGGUGAUCGUCAGCUUGAGAUCCAUGCAUAUUGUUGCGCAGAUUUUUGAAUGUCUUGUUAGUCACAAGAUUGCUACAAUUAAGACUGAAUUGGAUGGUUAUUAUAUGACUAAGUGUGUAAUAAAAUUAAGCAUGUAUAGCUAUAUUCAGUGUGAAGUUUGAGUAAGGUUUAUAUUCAACUGCUUUCCAGUUGCUUUUCCUGUUCAGGUGAUUGUUAAGUAUUCACGUUAUUUCAUCAGACUUCACAAUUGCUUUUCUCAAAAAUUUCAAUGGGCAUGACACGAGAUAGUGUGAUUCAGAAUUGACUUUGGUUUAAUAGUGUAAAAAUGAAUGUAAAGGACUGGCUUCCAUGUUGAUGUGUGGACUCGAACUAGGGACCUCGUCGUUGGUUGAAACUGCCCUUGUCUAAGUUUGGACUCUCCCUUGAGUCAGUCUUGGACUGAUACCAAUUGGUAAUUCAGAACAUGUCCUACGUCUGUGAGCCAUUGGGCCCCACGCUAAGCCAAAGUUUGGAUUUCAUGCUGUUAGCCUCUUGCAUUUAUAAAAUGUAUUCUCUUAGUUUGGCCCGCAGAAGAACCCGUGUCCAUUAAUAUCGAGCAAUUACAAUUUUAGUAGCCCUUUUAAUUAAUUUGUCGUUUCUUAAUAUUGGAGAUGUGCC